CCUACGGGUGGCAGCAGGAGGGAAUAUUGCUCAAUGGGGGAAACCCUGAAGCAGCAACGCCGCGUGGAGGAUGAAGGUUUUAGGAUUGUAAACUCCUUUUGUUAGAGAAGUCCAUGACGGUACCUAACCACUAUUCACCGGCUAACUCCGUGCCAGCCGCCGCGGUAAUACGGAGGGCGCAAGCGUUAUUCGGAAUCACUGGGCGUAAAGGGUGCGUAGGCGGGGUAAUAAGUCAGAUGUGAAAUCGUGUGGCUUAACUACAGAACUGCAGUUGAAACUGGUACUCUGGAGUGUGGGAGAGGUAGGUGGAAUUCUUGGUGUAGAGGUGAAAUGCGUAGAGAUCAGGAGGAAUACUCAUUGCGAAGGCGACCUGCUGGAACGUAACUGACGCUGAUGCACGAAAGCGUGGGGAGCAAACAGGAUUAGAUACCCUUGUAGUC
rnacentral:rRNA from 1 species